AACGCGAAGAACCUUACCAGGCCUUGACAUGCCCUCUAUGGGAACCUGAAAGGGAUCCCUUCACUUCGGGUGGGAGGUGCACAGGUGCUGCAUGGCUGUCGUCAGCUCGUGUCGUGAGAUGUUGGGUUAAGUCCCGCAACGAGCGCAACCCUCAUCCUCUGUUGCUAACAGGUAAUGCUGAGAACUCUGAGGAAACUGCCGGUGAUAAGCCGGAGGAAGGUGGGGAUGACGUCAAGUCCUCAUGGCCCUUACGGCCUGGGCUACACACGUGUUACAAUGGCGGUGACAAUGGGCUGCGAUCCCGCGAGGGCUAGCUAAUCCCGUAAAAGCCGCCUCAGUUCGGAUUGUACUCUGCAACUCGAGUGCAUGAAGCUGGAAUCGCUAGUAAUCGUAGAUCAGCACGCUACGGUGAAUACGUUCCCGGGCCUUGUACACACCGUACGUC
rnacentral:rRNA from 1 species